rnacentral:rRNA from 1 species
GGCUGAAAUUCGCCUUCAUGAAGCCGGAAUUGCUAGUAAUGGCAGGUCAGCAUACUGCCGUGAAUACGUUCCCGGGCCUUGUACACACCGCCCGUCACACCAUGAGAGUUGGGGAUACCCGAAGCCUGUGAGCUAACUAUUUAUAGGAGCAGCAGUCGAAGGUAGAAUCAAUGAUUGGGGUGAAGUCGUAACAAGGUAUC